AUAGCGUAUAUUAAAGUUGUUGCAGUUAAAAAGCUCGUAGUUGAACUUCUGUACGUGCCCGGUUCUGGCUUCGGUCAAGCUGUGGUGCGUGCAUCCGCUUGCAAACCUGGCCCGGCCUUUACUGGUCGACCAGGGGAGUAGGCCUUUUACUUUGAAAAAAUUAGAGUGUUUCAAGCAGGCAAUGGCUCGAAUACAUUAGCAUGGAAUAAUGGAAUAGGACUUUUGUCCAUUUGGUUGGUUAUUGGACAUGAGUAAUGAUUAACAGGGACAGUUGGGGGCAUUAGUAUUUAAUUGUCAGAGGUGAAAUUCUUGGAUUUAUUAAAGACUAACCUAUG
rnacentral:rRNA from 1 species